rnacentral:sRNA from 1 species
UACCCACUCAAAGAGAUAUAUCUCACUUUCCAUGAGGGAGUUGUUGGUAUUCGAUCGACCAGCAACAGUCUCCAACAUGACCACCCCGAAUGCAAAAAUAUCUACCUUUUCUGUCAAACGACCUCUCAUUGCAUACUCCGGAGCUAGAUAGCCACUUGAAAAAGGUCAAACAAGUUUAAGAGCAGCUUUAAUUUUGAGAUUCCAUCCAUAAGAAGAGAAAAUGGUAAAUUGUACUUACAAUGUGCCUGCAAUUCUUGUGCUCACAUGAGUCUGCUUCUCAUCAUAGAGUUUAGCGAGUCCAAAAUCAGAGAUUUUUGGGGUGAGAUCCGUAUCAAGUAGGACAUUGCUGGCUUUUAUGUCCCUAUGCACGAUGCGCACAUUCGACUCCUCGUGAAGAUAAGUUAUGCCCCUUGCAAUGCCUAAAAUAAUCUCAAAGCGCAUUGCCCAGUCUAGGUUUAAGUUGUUGUCUCCUGUACAUUAAAAAAAUCUCGAUAAAGCCUCAAGAA